GAACGCACAUUGCGCCCGCCAGCAUUCUGGCGGGCAUGCCUUGUCCGAGCGUCAUUUCCCCCCUCACGCGCCCCGUUGCGCGCUGGUGUUGGGGCGCCCUCCGCCUGGCGGGGGGCCCCCGAAAGCGAGUGGCGGGCCCUGUGGAWGGCUCCGAGCGCAGUACCGAACGCAUGUUCUCCCCUCGCUCCGGACGCCCCCCAGGCGCCCUGCCGUGAAAACGCGCAUGACGCGCAGCUCUUUUUACAAGGUUGACCUCGGAUCAGGUAGGA
rnacentral:misc_RNA from 1 species